rnacentral:piRNA from 1 species
UGUGCCGAUCCAUCUUCACGAUUGGGUGAA